GUGUCUUCGAGUCGUUGAUUUCACACUGCCGAGAAAAGCCUCUAGAUAGAAAAUAGGUGCCCGUACCGCAAACCGACACAGGUAGUCAAGAUGAGAAUUCUAAGGUGAGCGAGCGAACUCUCGUUAAGGAACUCGGCAAAAUGACCCCGUAACUUCGGGAGAAGGGGUGCUCUUUAGGGUUAACGCCCAGAAGAGCCGCAGUGAAUAGGCCCAAGCGACUGUUUAUCAAAAACACAGGUCUCUGCUAAACCGUAAGGUGAUGUAUAGGGGCUGACGCCUGCCCGGUGCUGGAAGGUUAAGAGGAGUGGUUAGCUUCUGCGAAGCUACGAAUCGAAGCCCCAGUAAACGGCGGCCGUAACUAUAACGGUCCUAAGGUAGCGAAAUUCCUUGUCGGGUAAGUUCCGACCCGCACGAAAGGCGUAACGAUUUGGGCACUGUCUCAACGAGAGACUCGGUGAAAUCAUAGUACCUGUGAAGAUGCAGGUUACCCGCGACAGGACGGAAAGACCCCGUGGAGCUUUACUGUAGCCUGAUAUUGAAAUUCGGCACAGCUUGUACAGGAUAGGUAGGAGCCUUUGAAACGUGAGCGCUAGCUUACGUGGAGGCGCUGGUGGGAUACUACCCUAGCUGUGUUGGCUUUCUAACCCGCACCACUUAUCGUGGUGGGAGACAGUGUCAGGCGGGCAGUUUGACUGGGGCGGUCGCCUCCUAAAAGGUAACGGAGGCGCUCAAAGGUUCCCUCAGAAUGGUUGGAAAUCAUUCAUAGAGUGUAAAGGCAUAAGGGAGCUUGACUGCGAGACCUACAAGUCGAGCAGGGUCG
rnacentral:rRNA from 1 species